rnacentral:misc_RNA from 1 species
AGAGUUAAACAGUACGUGAAAUUGUUGAAAGGGAAACGAUUGGAGUCAGUCAUGCUAGUAGGGAAUCAACUUGGUGGUGUGAGUUUAUUUUUUUCUCGUUCUUCCUCGUGUACUUUCUUGCUUGGUAGGUUAGCAUCAAUUUUAGUUGUCAUUAAAUAAUUGGGGAAAUGUGGCUUCUCUUCGGAGAAGUGUUUAUAGACCCUGAUAGCUGUGGCGACUGGGAUUGAGGAUUGCAGCGGAUACCUUUAGGUUAGUCACCUGUCUUCUGAAGGUCACCCAGCUUGCUGAUGAUUGUAGGAUUUGGCAGUCUAGAAGGUAGAAUUAUCAUAAAUUCGCUAAGGAUGCUGACGUAAUGGCUUUAAACGA